UGACCCCACAAACACCAGAGACCCACUUCAUUUCCCCAUCUCCCUCACCUCUUUCAUGCUAUUUCAGAGCUGCCGCCGGAAAUCGUCUCACGGCGGCGGGUGAACACCAAAUGGCCUCAAACUUUCACCCUAUGAUCUUCAGCGUCCUCUCUUUCUAAUGCCCCUAGCCUCAUCCCUCAAAUCCCUCCGAAAUUACAGUUAUAGUAGAUCUAAAAAAACGCCAAAAAAUAGUCCGCCUCUUGUUCUUUCUUUCAGUGAUUUCAGAAUCGAUUUGACCUGAGACUUGUGUUGAUCGGUUGUUCUCAGUGAGAACAAUCGAUUAACAUUAGUUUCGGUUUAUUUCGAAGAUGCCGGAAUCCGACUACAUCGUCGUCGACCAGCCAAUGCUCUAAUCUCUCCUAUAGUCGCUGCCGCUCUAAAGCUCAACAGCGCUCGAGCCCAUUUGAGCACUAAAGGGUCAAAUCUCCAAAUCCCACACCUCUUUUUUCUCUUUCACGUAUCAUUUCUUUUUCUGGAAUUGGUCAUAAUUCUUCUCUUUUGAUUAAUUAGUUAGGUUUAAAUACUGCAUUCUCUGCUCUAGAUUGUUAACCAAUUGUUUGUUAAUUAAAUUGAAUCGCUUUUAUUUGAAUUACUAAAUUGGAGCACAAAUUAGUUGGCUUUCCUGUGCGCCGUUUUGUUUGAUCAAGCUGAAAUAAAUUUGGGCAUGUUUGAUGGACAGGCCUGAUGAGGUUGAAAGCCCAUUAAGCGUGGCUGGUUUGGUGGCUAAAUAGCCCAAGCGAUUGGUUGUUUGAAUGUUAAUUAACAGGGAAUAGGAAAGGAUUUCAAGUUUUUUUAACUUAGAAGAAUGUUUGGUAAUUACUGGAAGCUUCUAGUUUGAGGGUUUAAGUGUAAAUCAUAGAAGUUAGUGGGGGUUAAAAAUAGGAAAAGAAUCAUUUUGGACAGCUGUCCAAUUCAGUUGCAAAAGAUGCCAUUUUCCUAAAUUUUAGGAGGCUGAGAAAUUCUUUUCUAGGCCUUAUCUCAUUCUCUCAUAGAGCAUAUGCAUAUUCUAUUAAAAAAAAAGGGACUCUUCCUCAUAUUCUCACACAGGUUAAGCACUCAAAAGGCAGCUGAAAACUUCAAAAAAAAAAACUGAAAAAGAGUUCUGAAAAAUCCAAAACUUCUUCAGGAUACUAAAAUUUUCUGCUCCUUAGCUCAGCAUUCCUGGUUUUUUUUUUUUUUUGCUUAAACAUUUUGUGGGAUCAUUGUUAAGUGCUGCUGAUUUCUUGCAUUGCUGGGUUCCAGAUCUAGUUCUUGUUGCUAUUUCCUGUUGUCUGUUGCUACAUCAAGUUGUUGCUCGGAUGUUGGAUGCAGUGCCUCGACUCAAGGAGUGGGUCGAGGGGAUCGUGUCGCAAAAUCCCUACUCCGAGAUAGCGUGGCACGAACUUUCAAAGAGUCAGUGGGAGGCCCGUUCUUAUGGUUUUGUCAAAGGAUGUUGAGAUGAGGCCUCCGUCUGAUGACAUACUCACUGAGCCCUCUGCUUCGAAGCAGGAUAAAGAGAAGAAAAGAAAAAGGGCUUCGAGUUCUCCGAACUCGAAGAAGAAAAAACCAAAAAGGAGGCUGGUGCGCAAAUCUAAGGAAAGUGCUAGCACGCGGGAGGUUCCAUCGGUCGAUUGAGGGACGAGUCCGAAGAAGAAGAAUAAUAAGCCUCCGAGCUGAUGACCCGCGUGAGAAGAGGUACCGAGCUGCCUCAAACCAGGGUAGUCGAUGAGGAGGCAGUGGCCGAGGCCUCCGAACCAAGGAAGGAAGAGGCCAUUUUGCCCCGAGCUGGGGAGGUCGACAAGGAGACCACGACCGGUACUCCUCGGGCUGAGAGAGAUGCCCUGAAGGAUGCGCUUAGGUUGAUAGAUCUUUCUGGGUCACCAUCAUUCACCGACUCGAUGAUAAACGAGGCCCAGAUGCUGAAAGGACGCCCAAACGAGGGGCCUCAAGGGGCGGCAAAUUCCUUCAACAACUUCUUCGAUGGCAUGGAUUCUACCGCCUCGGAGGAUGUACCGGGUAAGGUGAUUUACCGGUGCCAAAGAAGAUGCCGUCUUCGGGAGCCAGCGGAUCUUCUUCGAGUCCGAGAUUGGUAGACCGGUUCCCAGCUCCGAGUGCAGAUCCUGACCGGAAGUGGUCAAUCAUCAUAUCCAUACUAGAGGAAGCCCGGGUUCUUUCCACCCUCGUGGGGGUUGCCAGCUAUCUUCAAUGUCUGGUGACCGAAGAGGAUCAGGCCAAAAUGGACGAGGUGGAGGCCCCUUGUCUUUUCAACGAAGCUCAGCAGGCAUUGAAUCGGGUAACUUCGAAAGCCUUUUUAUUAUGUACUUAGAUUAAUUUGCGAAUAAACAUAACAUUCUUCUUUGUGUUUGCAGCCCUCGGUGCUUCAUCACAAAACUUUUCUCUGAUAUCGGGAAGAGUUAAACCAACACGAGGCCAAGACUCGGGGGCUUAUUGAGAAGAUGGAUGCUUACAAGCUCCUCAGUGAGAUGCUCCAGGCCGAAUUAGAAACGGCUCGGAAGGAGCAUGCCGACCUAGUCGAGCAGGUAAGACGAGUGAGUAUUUGAACAUAGUGAUGAUGAUUCAGACACAAUGGCUAACGACUCGAACCCACAUGUUCAAAAGAAACUUGACCAAAUCGAGCAGCUCCAGGAGGAAGUGAACACGGUGAAAGCUGAGGCCGAAGAAUGGAAGAAAACCAUAGACCGCCUGGCCUCGGAAAAGGAGACUGCUUGAGAGCAACUGGCUUCGAUUGAGGUCCAGCUCCGGGCUGCAAAAGAAAAUGCCUUGGUACAUGCCAAAAGGAUCGAGGAGCUCCAGUCACAACUGAGCUCGGCGGUUUUCGGCCAAGAAAAUCUGGCCAAAAAACUUGAGGUCGCCAAGUCGGAGAUUGAUGUGGUUAAGGCCGAGGCUGAUGAGCGGGUGGCCCAGUAUAAGGCCGAUGUCGAGGCGGCUCAGGACCAAGUGAGAAAUUCGGUGGAGCAUAUGAAGUGGCAAUCCCGAAGGGAGGCCCUCGAGGGAGUUCGAGCUCAGGGUUUUGACCUGCUGGCUGAGAUCGAGAAAGCCAAGUUAUCCGAAACCCAGGCCAGGAAGCUGGCUUAUCCCGAGGAGGAUUCCGAGGGGUUUGAAGAUUCGGAUGAGCUCCAAGAUGGCGGAGACCCUGAAGGUGAUGACGCGGCCCCCGGCGGAGACUAGACCAGUUAGGCGUUUUUAGAUGUCUUUGUUUUUUUGUAUUUUUGUUGAGGCCGUUUUUGGCCCUUGUAAAAAAUUUCAUCGAGCAGUUCGAUCCUUGUAAAAGAAAUUUUUGAUUAUGAAUAUAAGGCUUUUUCCCUUCAACAG